rnacentral:rRNA from 1 species
GUGGGGAAUAUUGGGCAAUGGGCGCAAGCCUGACCCAGCAACGCCGCGUGAAGGAAGAAGGCUUUCGGGUUGUAAACUUCUUUUCUCAGGGACGAAGCAAGUGACGGUACCUGAGGAAUAAGCCACGGCUAACUACGUGCCAGCAGCCGCGGUAAUACGUAGGUGGCAAGCGUUAUCCGGAUUUACUGGGUGUAAAGGGCGUGUAGGCGGGACUGCAAGUCAGAUGUGAAAACCAUGGGCUCAACCUGUGGCCUGCAUUUGAAACUGUAGUUCUUGAGUACUGGAGAGGCAGACGGAAUUCCUAGUGUAGCGGUGAAAUGCGUAGAUAUUAGGAGGAACACCAGUGGCGAAGGCGGUCUGCUGGACAGCAACUGACGCUGAGGCGCGAAAGCGUGGGGAGCAAACAGGAUUAGAAACCCUAGUAGUCC